ACAGGGAUUGCCCUAGUAACGGCGAGUGAAGCGGCAACAGCUCAAAUUUGAAAUCUGGCUUCGGCCCGAGUUGUAAUUUGCAGAGGAAGCUUUAGGCGCGGCACUUUCUGAGUCCCCUGGAACGGGGCGCCAUAGAGGGUGAGAGCCCCGUAUAGUUAGAUGCCUAGCCUGUGUAAAGCUCCUUCGACGAGUCGAGUAGUUUGGGAAUGCUGCUCAAAAUGGGAGGUAAAUUUCUUCUAAAGCUAAAUACCGGCCAGAGACCGAUAGCGCACAAGUAGAGUGAUCGAAAGAUGAAAAGCACUUUGAAAAGAGGGUUAAAUAGCACGUGAAAUUGUUGAAAGGGAAGCGCUUGUGACCAGACUUGCGCCGGGCAGAUCAUCCGGUGUUCUCACCGGUGCACUCUGCCCGGCUCAGGCCAGCAUCGGUUCUCGCGGGGGGAUAAAGGCCCUGGGAACGUAGCUCCUCCGGGAGUGUUAUAGCCCGGGGCGUAAUGCCCUCGCGGGGACCGAGGUUCGCGCAUCUGCAAGGAUGCUGGCGUAAUGGUCAUCAGCGACCCGUCUUGAAACACGGACCAAGGAGUCAAGGUUUUGCGCGAGUGUUUGGGUGUAAAACCCGCACGCGUAAUGAAAGUGAACGUAGGUGAGAGCUUCGGCGCAUCAUCGACCGAUCCUGAUGUUUUCGGAUGGAUUUGAGUAGGAGCGUUAAGCCUUGGACCCGAAAGAUGGUGAACUAUGCUUGGAUAGGGUGAAGCCAGAGGAAACUCUGGUGGAGGCUCGCAGCGGUUCUGACGUGCAAAUCGAUCGUCAAAUCUGAGCAUGGGGGCGAAAGACUAAUCGAACCAUCU
rnacentral:rRNA from 2 species